ensembl:snoRNA
ACUGAUCAAGGAUGACUUGUUUGAUUAGUGACUGCUGGGUGACACUUGCGGAUAUGGGACUGAGAUCAGAA